UACAGAGGUCCCAAGCGUUGUUCGGAUUCACUGGGCGUAAAGGGUGCGUAGGCGGUCGGGUAAGUUUGAUGUGAAAUCUCUGGGCUUAACCCAGAAAUGGCAUUGAAUACUAUUCGGCUAGAGAGUCGGAGGGGGGACUGGAAUACUUGGUGUAGCAGUGAAAUGCGUAGAUAUCAAGUGGAACACCAGUGGCGAAGGCGAGUCCCUGGACGAUUUCUGACGCUGAGGCACGAAAGCUAGGGGAGCAAACAGG
rnacentral:rRNA from 1 species